GGGUGAAUAGCUCAGUUGGUAGAGCACGACCUUGCCAAGGUCGGGGUCGCGAGUUCGAGUCUCGUCAUCACCCACCA
rnacentral:tRNA from 1 species